AGCGAACGCUGGCGGCAGGCUUAACACAUGCAAGUCGAGCGGGCACUUUCGGGUGUCAGCGGCGGACGGGUGAGUAACGCGUGGGAACGUGCCCUCUGGUUCGGAAUAACUCAGGGAAACUUGAGCUAAUACCGGAUACGCCCUUUUGGGGAAAGGCUUGCUGCCGGAGGAUCGGCCCGCGUCUGAUUAGCUAGUUGGUGAGGUAACGGCUCACCAAGGCGACGAUCAGUAGCUGGUCUGAGAGGAUGAUCAGCCACACUGGGACUGAGACACGGCCCAGACUCCUACGGGAGGCAGCAGUGGGGAAUAUUGGACAAUGGGCGCAAGCCUGAUCCAGCCAUGCCGCGUGAGGGAUGAAGGCCUUAGGGUUGUAAAGCUCUUUUAUCCGGGACGAUAAUGACGGUACCGGAGGAAUAAGCCCCGGCUAACUUCG
rnacentral:rRNA from 1 species